rnacentral:rRNA from 1 species
AUUGAACGCUGGCGGCAGGCCUAACACAUGCAAGUCGAACGGUAACAGGAAGAAGCUUGCUUCUUUGCUGACGAGUGGCGGACGGGUGAGUAAUGUCUGGGAAACUGCCUGAUGGAGGGGGAUAACUACUGGAAACGGUAGCUAAUACCGCAUAACGUCGCAAGACCAAAGAGGGGGACCUUCGGGCCUCUUGCCAUCGGAUGUGCCCAGAUGGGAUUAGCUAGUAGGUGGGGUAACGGCUCACCUAGGCGACGAUCCCUAGCUGGUCUGAGAGGAUGACCCGCCACGCUGGAACUGAGACACGGUCCAGCCUCCUACGGGAGGCAGCAGUGGGGAAUAUUGCCCAAUGGGCGCAAGCCUGAUGCAGCCAUGCCGCGUGUAUGAAGAAGGCCUUCGGGUUGUAAAGUACUUUCAGCGGGGAGGAAGGGAGUAAAGUUAAUACCUUUGCUCAUUGACGUUACCCGCAGAAGAAGCACCGGCUAACUCCGU